rnacentral:rRNA from 1 species
UACGGAGGAUCCGAGCGUUAUCCGGAUUUAUUGGGUUUAAAGGGUGCGUAGGCGGCCUGUUAAGUCAGGGGUGAAAGACGGUAGCUCAACUAUCGCAGUGCCCUUGAUACUGAUGGGCUUGAAUGUACUAGAGGUAGGCGGAAUGUGACAAGUAGCGGUGAAAUGCAUAGAUAUGUCACAGAACACCAAUUGCGAAGGCAGCUUACUAUGGUAUUAUUGACGCUGAGGCACGAAGGCGUGGGGAUCAAACAGG